rnacentral:rRNA from 1 species
GAUGAACGCUGACAGAAUGCUUAACACAUGCAAGUCAACUGUGGCGGACGGGUGAGUAACGCGUAAAGAACUUGCCUCUCAGCUAGGGACAACAUUUGGAAACGAAUGCUAAUACCUGAUACUGUGAGAGAGCUUUGCGUCCCAUUAGCUGGUUGGAGAGGUAACGGCUCAGCAAGGCGAUGAUGGGUAGCCGGCCUGAGAGGGUGAUCGGCUACAAGAGGACUGAGACACGGCCCUUACUCCUACGUGAGGCAGCAGUGGGGAAUAUUGGACAAUGGACCAAAGUCUGAUCCAGCAAUUCGGUGUGCACGAUGAAGUUUUCGGAAUGUAAAGUGCUUUCAGUUGGGAAGCGGUACCAACAGAAGAAGUGACGGCUAAAUACGUGCCAGCAGCCGCGGUAAUUC